UUUGUUUAGCCGCACGGCCAACAAUUCUCGGGUACAUUGUUGAGGAUACCAACAGUGAAAUAAGGAAGAACCGAAUGUUAAGAGAAAUUCCCCCAGAUGGCGCCACGAGUAUUAAACAAAACAACGACUAAGGAAAGUGGAGAAGCUAUCUCGACUGCGUUACGCGUUAUUAUUCCUCUCCUGUCGUUACUACUGGCAGAAGUGAGCCAACAACUCUAUUGCGAUGAGCUGUUUAACACCGUCGCGACUCAUUGAAUCAACCUGCGUGAUCGAUGAAAGUCCGAAUUCCACAUCAACGAAUGAAAAGUCGGCAACUUGCUUGCUGCAAUUGACUGUCGAGGAACCAAAAUCUUACGAAGAAAGUGAAAUGAAGACAAAAAAAUUCGUUCUGGAUCUCCCUCCGGAAACUUUGAACACUCUUUUAGACGGUCUUACCAGAAUACGAGAACAACUAUCAACCGUUGCCCGAAAAUAAUGUUACAUAUUGUAUAACAUGACCGUUUAGUUAAGAUCUAUAAAUAUUGGUGAAUAAAAAAAAAAAAUUACUGUAAAUUGAGAAUGUGAGAACC